GACAUCUUUGUAUCAAGCCUUAUUUACCUUAUAAAUUAUAAAACGGUAUUGAAAUAGAUGGUCGAACAUUUUCUAUAAAAAUUAAUUCUAUUGUUUGUGAUGUACCAGCAAAAGUUUUUAUUACAUACACAAAGGGUCAUUCUGGUGAUGCUUCAUGUAGCAAAUGUAUAAUUAUUGUGUACGUAAAUUGUGUAUGCAAAUUAUUAAUUUUCAAUUGGUAUUUAUUAUAGGUAAAAGAGUUAUCAAAAUUUGGCGGAUCAAGCACUUAUAAUUUUAUCAAAAGAGUAAUGUCAACUAUGUUGGCAGACAGUCCUAUUAUUGAGUAUAGUUGGCUGGGUCGGAAAGGAAAACGUAGCCUUGAGAGUACGAUGGUGGGAAAGCUGUUUGUCUCUGCAGCUGACAAAAGUGGUAUUUCGCCAAACAAAAAAAACGGAGGAAGCGAUUAGAAGUUAUAUGAAAAGGGGAAAGGAGAGGCUGACUGCGAAAGAAAAUAAAAAUAUGAAUUAACAUGAAUAUUAUUUAUGAAAUUUUAAUAAAAAUUUGUUUGAAAUA
rnacentral:lncRNA from 1 species